UACGAAGGGGGCUAGCGUUGCUCGGAAUUACUGGGCGUAAAGCGCACGUAGGCGGCUUUUUAAGUCAGGGGUGAAAUCCUGGAGCUCAACUCCAGAACUGCCUUUGAUACUGAGAAGCUUGAGUCCGGGAGAGGUGAGUGGAACUGCGAGUGUAGAGGUGAAAUUCGUAGAUAUUCGCAAGAACACCAGUGGCGAAGGCGGCUCACUGGCCCGAUACUGACGCUGAGGCACGAAAGCGUGGGGAGCAAACAGG
rnacentral:rRNA from 1 species